rnacentral:tRNA from 2 species
GCUGAGGUAGCCUAGCCCGGUAAGGCGCCGGCCUUGAAAGCCGGUGGGGCAACCCCUCGGGAGUUCAAAUCUCCCCCUCAGCG